rnacentral:rRNA from 1 species
UAAGUAUACAUUGGUAGGAGAGCGUUCUGUAGGCCUGAGAAGAAGAAGGGAAACCGACUUUGGAGGCAUCAGAAGUGAGAAUGCAGGAAUAAGUAGCGAAAAAGAGGGUGAGAAUCCCUCUCGCCGAAAAUCUAAGGAUUCCAGGGGAAGGCUCGUCCUCCCUGGGUAAGUCGGGACCUAAGCUGAGGCUAAAGAGCGUAGGCGAAUGGACAUCAGGUAAAUAAUCCUGAACUACUUACAAUUGUUUGAGAGAUGGAGUGACGCAGGAAGGUAUGCACGCACACUGACGGAAUAGUGUGUAUAAUUACGUAGCAUGGCUAUAUAGGCAAAUCCGUAUAGCUAGAUGUGAGGUUUGACAUGGAAGGAGAAAUCCUGGAAGGUGCAAAUCCUACAUUGCCGAGAAAAGCUUCUAUUGAGAGAGUAAGUACCCGUACCGAAAACCGACACAGGUGGAUGGAGUGAGAAACUCAAGGCGCGCAGGCUAACUAUCGCUAAGGAACUCUGCAAAAUGGCCCCGUAACUUCGGGAGAAGGGGUGCCCUUUAUUGUUAACAACUACGCGUUGUGAAGCGAUGAGGGGUCGCAGUGAAAAGGUCCGGGCAACUGUUUAAGAAAAACACAGGUCUAUGCUAAGCUGAAAGGCGAUGUAUAUGGGCUGACACCUGCCCAGUGCCGGAAGGUUAAGGGGAGGAGUGAGAGCUUCGAACUGAAGCCCCGGUGAACGGCGGCCGUAACAAUAACGGUCCUAAGGUAGCGAAAUUCCUUGUCGGGUAAGUUCCGACCUGCACGAAUGGUGUAAUGAUCUGGACGCUGUCUUGGCGGUAGGCCUGGCGAAAUUGUAGUAUGGGUGAAGAUACCCAUUACCCGCAGGAGGACGGAAAGACCCCAUGGAGCUUUACUGUAGCUUGGUAUUGGGUUUUGAUUAUGUGUGUAUAGGAUAGUUGGGAGACUUUGAUGUAUAGCCGCCAGGUUAUAUGGAGUCGUCGGUGGAAUACCAACCACAUAUCGUUGAAAUUCUAAUCUGGGAAGUGAAUUCUUGGAGACAGUGCUAGGUGGGCAGUUUGACUGGGGCGGUCGCCUCCUAAAGAGUAACGGAGGCGCCCAAAGGUUCCCUCAGACUGGAUGGAAAUCAGUCGUAGAGUGCAAAGGCAUAAGGGAGCUUGACUGUGAGACAGACAUGUCGAACAGGUGCGAAAGCAGGGCUUAGUGAUCCGGUGGUUCCGUAUGGAAGGGCCAUCGCUCAACGGAUAAAAGCUACCCUGGGGAUAACAGGCUGAUACUACCCGAGAGUCCAUAUCGACGGUAGUGUUUGGCACCUCGAUGUCGGCUCAUCUUAUCCUGGGGCUGGAGAAGGUCCCAAGGGUUGGGCUGUUCGCCCAUUAAAAAGGUACGUGAGCUGGGUUCAGAACGUCGUGAGACAGUUCGGUCCCUAUCCUCUGCGGGCGUAAGAGUAUUGCGAAGAUCUGUCCUUAGUACU